GACGAACGCUGGCGGCGUGCUUAACACAUGCAAGUCGAACGGAAAGGCCCUGCUUUUGUGGGGUGCUCGAGUGGCGAACGGGUGAGUAACACGUGAGUAACCUGCCCUUGACUUUGGGAUAACUUCAGGAAACUGGGGCUAAUACCGGAUAGGAGCUCCUGCUGCAUGGUGGGGGUUGGAAAGUUUCGGCGGUUGGGGAUGGACUCGCGGCUUAUCAGCUUGUUGGUGGGGUAGUGGCUUACCAAGGCUUUGACGGGUAGCCGGCCUGAGAGGGUGACCGGCCACAUUGGGACUGAGAUACGGCCCAGACUCCUACGGGAGGCAGCGGUGGGGAAUAUUGCACAAUGGCGGAAGCCUGAUGCAGCAACGCCGCGUGCGGGAUGACGGCCUUCGGGUUGUAAACCGCUUUCGCCUGUGACGAAGCGUGAGUGACGGUAAUGGAUAAAGAAGCACCGGCUAACUACGUG
rnacentral:rRNA from 1 species